CUUUUAAAGGAUAGAAGCAAUCCACUGGUUUUAGGAACCAUUAA
rnacentral:tRNA from 1 species